ACGACAAUUGGAUGCUGAGAAGAAAUGGGUACUAUCUGGGCACUUAACCAUUUUGGAGCUGCUAGUGCAACCGGCCGGAGACAU
rnacentral:ncRNA from 2 species